rnacentral:rRNA from 1 species
CCAGACUCCUACGGGAGGCAGCAGUGGGGAAUAUUGCACAAUGGGGGAAACCCUGAUGCAGCGACGCCGCGUGAGUGAAGAAGUAUUUCGGUAUGUAAAGCUCUAUCAGCAGGGAAGAAGUUGACGGUACCUGACUAAGAAGCCCCGGCUAACUACGUGCCAGCAGCCGCGGUAAUACGUAGGGGGCAAGCGUUAUCCGGAUUUACUGGGUGUAAAGGGAGAGUAGACGGCAGCACAAGUCUGGAGUGAAAUGCCGGGGCUUAACCCCGGAACUGCUUUGGAAACUGUGCAGCUAGAGUGCAGGAGAGGUAAGUGGAAUUCCUAGUGUAGCGGUGAAAUGCGUAGAUAUUAGGAGGAACACCAGUGGCGAAGGCGGCUUACUGGACUGUAACUGACGUUGAGGCUCGAAAGCGUGGGGAGCA